rnacentral:rRNA from 1 species
AUUGAACGCUGGCGGCAUGCCUUACACAUGCAAGUCGAACGGCAGCACGGGAGCAAUCCUGGUGGCGAGUGGCGAACGGGUGAGUAAUGUAUCGGAACGUGCCCAGUCGUGGGGGAUAACGCAGCGAAAGCUGUGCUAAUACCGCAUACGAUCUAUGGAUGAAAGCGGGGGAUCGCAAGACCUCGCGCGAUUGGAGCGGCCGAUAUCAGAUUAGCUAGUUGGUGGGGUAAAGGCCCACCAAGGCGACGAUCUGUAGCUGGUCUGAGAGGACGACCAGCCACACUGGAACUGAGACACGGUCCAGACUCCUACGGGAGGCAGCAGUGGGGAAUUUUGGACAAUGGGCGCAAGCCUGAUCCAGCAAUGCCGCGUGCAGGAUGAAGGCCUUCGGGUUGUAAACUGCUUUUGUACGGAACGAAACGGUCCUUUCUAAUACAGGGGGCUAAUGACGGUACCGUAAGAAUAAGCACCGGCUAACUACGUGCCAGCCGCCGCCGUAA